GUGGGGAAUAUUGGACAAUGGGCGAAAGCCUGAUCCAGCCAUGCCGCGUGUGUGAAGAAGGUCUUCGGAUUGUAAAGCACUUUAAGUUGGGAGGAAGGGCAGUAAGUUAAUACCUUGCUGUUUUGACGUUACCGACAGAAUAAGCACCGGCUAACUUCGUGCCAGCAGCCGCGGUAAUACGAAGGGUGCAAGCGUUAAUCGGAAUUACUGGGCGUAAAGCGCGCGUAGGUGGUUUUGUAAGUUGGAGGUGAAAUCCCCGGGCUCAACCUGGGAACUGUCUCCAAAACUGCAUGACUAGAGUACGGUAGAGGGUAGUGGAAUGUCGUGUGUAGCGGUGAAAUGCGUAGAUAUAGGAAGGAACGCAAGUGGCGAAGGCGACUACCUGGACUGAUACUGACACUGAGGUGCGAAAGCGUGGGGAGCGAACAGGAUUAGAUACCCGGGUAGUCC
rnacentral:rRNA from 1 species